rnacentral:rRNA from 1 species
CGGAGGGUGCAAGCGUUAUCCGGAUUCACUGGGUUUAAAGGGUGCGUAGGCGGAUUUUUAAGUCCGUGGUGAAAUCUCCGAGCUUAACUCGGAAACUGCCAUGGAUACUAUGAGUCUUGAAUGUUGUGGAGGUUUGCGGAAUAUGUCAUGUAGCGGUGAAAUGCUUAGAUAUGACAUAGAACACCGAUUGCGAAGGCAGCAGGCUACACAAAUAUUGACGCUGAGGCACGAAAGCGUGGGGAUCAAACAGGAUUAGAUACCCUGGUAGUCCACGCCCUAAACGAUGAUUACUCGACAUUUGCGAUACACAGCAAGUGUCUGAGCGAAAGCAUUAAGUAAUCCACCUGGGAAGUACGACCGCAAGGUUG